AGUUGUUUGUAGAGCGAUUGGCGGACACAGAAUAAAAGCGCGAAUCUGGCCAGACAUUCGAUUUGAAACAAAAGUUAACAGUCGGACAGUCGGAGGCUCUAUCUCGAUCCCAAAGCUCUCGGAACUUGCUCGCAACAGCCCCGCCGAUCUGCACCGAUCUCCCCGUGAAACAAUCGCACUUGGCAAUGGCACUGGUUAAGCAUGAGCAUUAGCAUUGAGUCAGUUGCUCGCUUGAACAGUGCGGGCUAAGAGCUGCGGCCCAGACACCAGAACGUGAGAAUCAACGUGAAAACCGGAGACAGACGACAUAUGUCGGCCGAUAAAGAUGUCAGCGAUCUUGUAGGCCAGUGCACACGAAGUACUUGGAUCGCUGUUAUCGGCCAGAUAAACCCAACAGCAUAAAGGGGGAGUUCUAUUGCGUU
ensembl:ncRNA lncRNA:CR45119 long non-coding RNA:CR45119